UGGGGAAUAUUGGACAAUGGGCGCAAGCCUGAUCCAGCCAUGCCGCGUGAGUGAUGAAGGCCCUAGGGUUGUAAAGCUCUUUCACCGGUGAAGAUAAUGACGGUAACCGGAGAAGAAGCCCCGGCUAACUUCGUGCCAGCAGCCGCGGUAAUACGAAGGGGGCUAGCGUUGUUCGGAUUUACUGGGCGUAAAGCGCACGUAGGCGGACUAUUAAGUCAGGGGUGAAAUCCCGGGGGUCAACCCCGGAACUGCCUUUGAUACUGGUAGUCUUGAGUUCGGGAGAGGUGAGUGGAAUUCCGGGUGGAAAGGUGGAAUUCGUAGAUAUUCGGAGGAACACCAGUGGCGAAGGCGGCUCACUGGCUCGAUACUGACGCUGAGGUGCGAAAGCGUGGGGAGCAAACAGG
rnacentral:rRNA from 1 species